AAAUAUGAGCUGGUUUUAUAAUGAUAUCUGGUUUCAUAUUCGCCUUCUAUCACUUAGGUUGCCAUUUACGAGAUCCAAUGUCAAUUUCAAUUCAUUUGCAAUUCAUCACUGGAUGUAAUAUUGAAGUCUGUAUCUUUCACUAUACAGACCCAAUGCUGGCAAGGAUGUAUAGAUUUCGGGCAGAGUAAUUGUAUUUUCCUGAGAUUAUGGGAAGAAGUAGG
rnacentral:misc_RNA from 1 species